AUACGGAGGGGGCAAGCGUCGUUCGGAAUUACUGGGCGUAAAGAGUACGUAGGCGGAUCGUUAAGUUAGAGGUGAAAUCCCAGGGCUCAACCCUGGAACUGCCUUUAAUACUGGCGAUCUAGAGAUCGAGAGAGGUGAGUGGAAUUUCCAGUGUAGAGGUGAAAUUCGUAGAUAUUGGAAAGAACACCAGUUGCGAAGGCGGCUCACUGGCUCGAUACUGACGCUGAGGUACGAAAGCGUGGGGAGCAAACAGGAUUAGAAACCCUAGUAGUCC
rnacentral:rRNA from 1 species